AACACACAAAAUAUCUUUAAGAUUAAUGGAUUAAACCUGACUUUUUGAUAUUUCAACAGCAACAUAUAUCACCAGAUGCCCUACAUAGGGCGACCAGGGCUCUCUCCUCAUACACCAGCUUCUGCUUCUCCAUCUGUAUCACCAGUUUCUUCACUCCAUCCUUGGGAAACUUCUAAAAGGACGCAACACUGCUGAGUUAAGCCUACAAAGGCUCACAGGCCUGGAGGACACGAUUACCAAAAACAAUUUAAAGAGUGGACUCGUCAGAUCACAGCACACUUUUUCACUUCGUGUCGGUCCAUCUCAGAUGAGCUCAAGUCCAGAGAAGUCGGCGGUGUUUCUGGAUGUUGUUCAUAUAUGGCUUUAACUUUGCAUGGUAGAGUCAGAACUUGAACUUACACAUGCAGCAAAAAACUGUGUUUACUGACAGUGUUUUUCCAAAGUGUUCCUAUACCUGUGUAGUAAUAUCCUUUAUGCAACCAUAUUGAUUUUUAAUGCUGCGCAGCCUGAGCCGUCAAAGGUCACCUGCAUUUGAUAUUGCUUUUCGGCUUUGCCCCUUACCUGCUGAGAUUUCUCCAGAUUCUCUGAAUCUUUUUAUGACAUUAUGGAUUGUAGAUGGUGAAUUCCAUUAAUUCUUUGCAAUUAUGAUUUGAGAAAUGCUGUUCUUAAAUUGUUGGAUUGUUUUCCCUCACAGUUUUUCAUAAAGGCAUCAAAUUCAAAACAAGUGUAUAUUUACAAAGUAUAAGUACAAGGUUUAUAGGUUUGAAUAUUGAAUAUCUUGUCUGUGUACUCUAUUCAACUGAAUAUAAGUCAAAAUGAAUUUACAAAUCAUAGCAUUCUGUUUUUAUUUUAUUUUACACAGAUUUCCUGACAGUUUGGUUUUGGGAUUGUAAAACUAUUCAAAUUUUGGAACCGCUGUAGCCACAAGAUACAAUUAUUUGAUAGUUCUAAAUGCUAAGAUAGUCUAACAGCACAAGCAGAAAAAAAGUCACCAACUUUUUUUCCAGUAAUCUCAGUUACACAGUAAAAUCUAGCUCACGUUGGCUAAUAUUAGCCACCAUAAGCUCCUAAUCAUACCAGACCAAGUAGACGCUGUGUAAGUGUUUAAUUGUAUUUAAUUUCUUUGUUUUUAUUUGUAAGAGGAAGAAUGUGUUAUUUUAUCUGUCCAAAGUGACAUAACAAAACAGCACAGAAAUGACUCGAGGAAAAAAAAGAU